ACUCCUACGGGAGGCAGCAGUGGGGAAUAUUGCACAAUGGGCGCAAGCCUGAUGCAGCCAUGCCGCGUGUGUGAAGAAGGCCUUCGGGUUGUAAAGCACUUUCAGUCGUGAGGAAGGUAGUGUAGUUAAUAGCUGCAUUAUUUGUACGUUAGCGACAGAAGAAGCACCGGCUAACUCCGUGCCAGCAGCCGCGGUAAUACGGAGGUGCGAGCGUUAAUCGGAAUUACUGGGCGUAAAGCGCAUGCAGGUGGUUUGUUAAGUCAGAUGUGAAAGCCCGGGGCUCAACCUCGGAAUUGCAUUUGAAACUGGCAGACUAGAGUACUGUAGAGGGGGUUAGAAUUUCAGGUGUAGCGGUGAAAUGCGUAGAGAUCUGAAGGAAUACCGGUGGCGAAGCGGCCCCUGGACAGAUACUGACACUCAGAUGCGAAAGCGUGGGAGCAAACAGGAUUAGAUACCCCUGGUAGACAGUG
rnacentral:rRNA from 1 species